rnacentral:rRNA from 1 species
UACGAAGGGGGCUAGCGUUGCUCGGAAUCACUGGGCGUAAAGGGCGCGUAGGCGGACUCUUAAGUCGGGGGUGAAAGCCCAGGGCUCAACCCUGGAAUUGCCUUCGAUACUGGGAGUCUUGAGUUCGGAAGAGGUUGGUGGAACUGCGAGUGUAGAGGUGAAAUUCGUAGAUAUUCGCAAGAACACCAGUGGCGAAGGCGGCCAACUGGUCCGAAACUGACGCUGAGGCGCGAAAGCGUGGGGAGCGAACAGG